CUUCCCCUCUCUCUAAAAAUCAACAAAAACAUAUCCUUGGGUGAGGAUUUAAAAAAAUUCUAAAGAUAGAAUUGCUCUCAUGGGAUAGGCGAACCUGCCCUGAUCUGAAGGGGGAGGAUUAGUUGUGUCCUCCUUCUGUACGAAAUGGCUAAACAGAAAAAA
rnacentral:snoRNA from 1 species